AAGACCUUUCUUAACCUAGCAGCCAUUUUAUUCAGCUUCCCAACCUGAGAAAAUGUUCCCUGCCUGUGGAGUACUAGGGCGUUAAGCCAAUGUUUGCCUAACCUUUGCUUCAAGCAUAAUCUUACCUUCUAAUAAAACACACUCCAAACGCUCCAUUACACGUUUUUCGUAGCUCAGAGUCGUGUUCAUACCAGGAAGAGGGGGAAUUAAAGAACUAUCUUGUUUGAAUAGAGUGAGCUGGGCUGGAACCUGAAGGGAAGAAUCCCAACCUUCUACUACCCUGUCUUCUGCCAUCUCUCCUUGAGCGGAGAAGGAAUUGUGGAUUCUUUACCACUGAACCACCAGGGAAGCCCAAGGGGUCCUUCUAGGGAGUGUCAAGCCUCUGGUACAUCCAGACUGCCUGGAAGUGCAGCUGACCAAAAAGGCCAUCAUGCAAAGAGAUGCAGAUGUCAUAGAGCAGGUGUCAGGAGCACCUGCUCUUCUUCCUGUCUAUUGUUGUGACUUCUCCAUCGAAGUUGAGGGGGCUCCACCACUUGUCCACAGAGUCAGUUGAAUCCUGUGCCACAGACCCAGGCAACCAGGACUUGAGGAAGCAAGAAUGUGGAAACCUGGUUGCCCCCAUCUGAGCCUCACUCUUCAACCCCGCCUAUGGUGCAGAAGCCCUGUAUGAGGAGAUGGGGGCAUCACUGGACGCUUGAAAGUAAAAAAGUGAUAGUGUUAGUGUCUCAGUCGUGCAGACUGUUUUCAACCCCGUGGACUACAG
ensembl:lncRNA